rnacentral:rRNA from 1 species
GACGAACGCUGGCGGCGUGCUUAACACAUGCAAGUCGAACGGAAAGGCCCUGCUUUUGUGGGGUGCUCGAGUGGCGAACGGGUGAGUAACACGUGAGUAACCUGCCCUUGACUUUGGGAUAACUUCAGGAAACUGGGGCUAAUACCGGAUAGGAGCUCCUGCUGCAUGGUGGGGGUUGGAAAGUUUCGGCGGUUGGGGAUGGACUCGCGGCUUAUCAGCUUGUUGGUGGGGUAGUGGCUUACCAAGGCUUUGACGGGUAGCCGGCCUGAGAGGGUGACCGGCCACAUUGGGACUGAGAUACGGCCCAGACUCCUCCGGGAGGCAGCAGGGGGGAAUAUUGCACAAUGGGCGGAAGCCUGAUGCAGAAACGCCGCGUGCGGGAUGACGGCCUUCGGGUUGUAAACCGCUUUCGCCUGUGACGAAGCGUGAGUGACGGUAAUGGGUAAAGAAGCACCGGCUAACUACGUG